UACGUAGGGUGCAAGCGUUAAUCGGAAUUACUGGGCGUAAAGCGUGCGCAGGCGGUUUGGUAAGACAGAUGUGAAAUCCCCGGGCUUAACCUGGGAACUGCAUUGGUGACUGGCAGGCUUUGAGUGUGGCAGAGGGAGGUAGAAUUCCACGUGUAGCAGUGAAAUGCGUAGAGAUGUGGAGGAAUACCGAUGGCGAAGGCAGCCUCCUGGGCCAACACUGACGCUCAUGCACGAAAGCGUGGGGAGCAAACAGG
rnacentral:rRNA from 1 species